AGUGAACGCUGGCGGUAGGCCUAACACAUGCAAGUCGAACGGCAGCACAGUAAGGGCUUGCUCUUACGGGUGGCGAGUGGCGGACGGGUGAGGAAUACAUCGGAAUCUACUUUUUCGUGGGGGAUAACGUAGGGAAACUUACGCUAAUACCGCAUACGACCUACGGGUGAAAGCAGGGGAUCUUCGGACCUUGCGCGAUUGAAUGAGCCGAUGUCGGAUUAGCUAGUUGGCGGGGUAAAGGCCCACCAAGGCGACGAUCCGUAGCUGGUCUGAGAGGAUGAUCAGCCACACUGGAACUGAGACACGGUCCAGACUCCUACGGGAGGCAGCAGUGGGGAAUAUUGGACAAUGGGCGCAGGCCUGAUCCAGCCAUACCGCGUGGGUGAAGAAGGCCUUCGGGUUGUAAAGCCCUUUUGUUGGGAAAGAAAAGCAGCAGGUUAAUACCCCGCUGUUCUGACGGUACCCAAAGAACAAGCACCGGCUAACUUCGUG
rnacentral:rRNA from 1 species